CUGAGGUUUGAUUUGUGCAGGGGAAGCCUCGCGCUGCUGCUGGCCCGGCCUGGCAUCGCCACACGGGCGCGGCGCUGGACCAUGUGCGGCGGCUGGUGCGUGCACGCCUGACAUUGGGGCGGUGCUGCACCUGCGCUGGCUGGUACCCAGUGAGCUGCUGCUGGCUGCACUGCUGGGCACGCUCUUCUGGCACAGCCAGGGCUUCCACGUGCCUGCCCGGCUGCCUUCACCGCCGCCAGUAUCACCCCCUGUGCAUGCCUAGGAGCCCUGCGGCCCACCCCCGUGCUUUAAAAUUGUUCCCUUAGCCCCCUGCAGAAGGUCUGAGUGGAAGUGUCAGUUGUGAAUUAUAAAGAACAAGGUACAGGGCAUAGCCUCCAGCAGAGAACACCCUGCAAGCCAAUAGAUAAUCAGUCAUGAUUUCAAACACCUCCAUGUGUGUCCUGACUUCCCAUCUGACCACAUCUUCUUACCUUUUCCUUUGUCCAACCUCUUUCCCUUCCCCUCCCCGUGUUAGCUCCUGCUCUUUACUUACAUUUGAGUAGGGAAUCUGACUCUGUGUCUACCUGGCUUUGGACUUAAUGUUUCUUUUGGAGGUUUUUCUACAGAGUGGCUUCCCCUCAAUGUCUCGCUGCAGUUGUUCCAGGGCUGCCACCGGAUAGAGGGAUCCACCUGUUAAGGUCGCUGCAGCUGUGCUUUAAAAUAGGAAAUUGACAGGUCAAGCUCCCUGCGCCAGCGGCAAGGAGGACAAGGGUGACACAACAGGAUCCCCCUAUGCUCGCGUGAGGGCUGCUUUGCGCUGGUGGCGUGGCACACAGAGUCUGCACUGCAAAACCUGGGCCAUUGAGUCUAAACCAGUUACUGAUCCGUGAGAGGACCUUCCCUGUUAUCCAUGACUGCUUAGUUUACUUAAGAGCACUGGUGAAGACCCUUGUCAAAGGCUUUCUGAAAGCCCAAGAACACUAGAUCCCCCUGGAUCACCCUUCUCCAAAUGCUUUUUGACCUUCCCUCGGAGAAUUCUAAUAGAUUGACGAGGCAUGAUUUCCCUUUACAAAAGCUGUGUUGACUCUUCCCUAACAUACUGUGUUCAUCUAUAGGUUUGAUAAUUCUGUUCUUCACUAUAGUUUCAACCAAUUUGCCUGCUACUGAAGUUAUGCUCACCGGCCUGUAAUUGCGGGGAUCCCCUCUGGAACACUUGUUAAAAACUGGAGUCACAUUAGCUAUCCUCCUGAUAGAGGCUGAUUUAAGCGAUGGGUUACUGUGAAAGUAGAAUGAAUUAUAUUGUAAAAAUAGAAAGGAUUAAAGAAAUGCUGGAUGUACCUUUUAAGCAGAAAUGAGGAAUGUUCAAAUACAGGUAUCAGGAAAAGAAACAUUAAGGCAUAAACAAUGAGUCCACAUAAGCUAAUGGUGAAACAUUAACCAGAGAUUGGUAAAAGUUAGUAAGAAAAUUAACUAUGUAUGUCUAGCCUCAGGUAAACUUGUCAGUUCUGUUCCCUUUGUUAUCUUGCCAAGUUUACACCCUUUUUAUCUGUAUAAAAUAAGGUAGUGUGGGCCUUGCAUGGUGCUCACAUUAUCUGGGUGUUGU